rnacentral:rRNA from 1 species
AGUGGCGGACGGGUGAGUAACACGUAAGAAUUUGCCUUUAGGAGGGGAACAACAACUAGAAAUGGUUGCUAAUACCCCAUAUGCUUUCGAGUGAAAUGGAUUUUUCCGCCUAGAGAGAAGCUUGCGGCUGAUUAGCUUGUUGGUGAGGUAAUGGCUCACCAAGGCGACGAUCAGUAUCUGGUUUGAGAGGACGAUCAGACACACUGGAACUGAGACACGGUCCAGACUCCUACGGGAGGCAGCAGUGGGGAAUUUUCCGCAAUGGGCGAAAGCCUGACGGAGCAAUACCGCGUGAGGGAUGACGGCCUAUGGGUUGUAAACCUCUUUUUUCAGGGAGGAAUCAAUGACGUGUACCUGAAGAAUAAGCAUCGGCUAACUCCGUGCCAGCAGCCGCGGUAAGACGGGGGAUGCAAGUGUUAUCCGGAAUCACUGGGCGUAAAGCGUCUGUAGGUGGUCCAAUAAGUCAACUGUUAAAUCUUGAGGCUCAACCUCAAAAUCGCAGUCGAAACUAUUAGACUAGAGUAUAGUAGGGGUAAAGGGAAUUUCCAGUGGAGCGGUGAAAUGCGUAGAGAUUGGAAAGAACACCGAUGGCGAAGGCACUUUACUGGGCUAUUACUAACACUCAGAGACGAAAGCUAGGGUAGCAAAUGGGAUUAGAUACCCCAGUAGUCCUAGCCGUAAACAAUGGAUACUAGAUGUU